rnacentral:rRNA from 1 species
UACGAAGGGGGCUAGCGUUGCUCGGAAUCACUGGGCGUAAAGGGUGCGUAGGCGGGUCUUUAAGUCAGGGGUGAAAUCCUGGAGCUCAACUCCAGAACUGCCUUUGAUACUGAAGAUCUUGAGUUCGGGAGAGGUGAGUGGAACUGCGAGUGUAGAGGUGAAAUUCGUAGAUAUUCGCAAGAACACCAGUGGCGAAGGCGGCUUACUGGUCCGGUUCUGACGCUGAGGCGCGAAAGCGUGGGGAGCAAACAGG